ensembl:misc_RNA
UCCUCCUCCCCCCCCCCCCCCCCAACCCAUCAAGUCUUUGGCAUCAUUAUCCUCUUCACUAAAUCCUACUGGAUACACGGCGGAAAACGGUGAACAC